rnacentral:rRNA from 1 species
AGCAGCCGCGGUAAUUCCAGCUCCAAUAGCGUAUAUUAAAGUUGUUGCAGUUAAAAAGCUCGUAGUUGAAUUUCGGGAUCAGUUGGUCGGUCGUGCCUCGGUACGUACUGGUCAAAUUGAUUCCUACCUUCUGACGAACCACGAUGUCAUUAAUUUGGUGUCGCGGGAAAUCAGGACUGCUACUUUGAAAAAAUUAGAGUGUUUAAAGCAGGCUCGCGCUUGAAUACAUUAGCAUGGAAUAAUGAAAUAGGACGUUUGAUUCUAUUUUGUUGGUUUCUAGGAUCGACGUAAUGAUUAAUAGGGAUAGUUGGGGGCAUUAGUAUUCAAUUGUCAGAGGUGAAAUUCUUGGAUUUAUUGAAGACUAACUACUGCGAAAGCAUUUGCCAAGGAUGUUUUCAUUAAUCAAGAACGAAAGUUAGGGGAUCGAAGACGAUCAGAUACCGUCGUAGUCUUAACCAUAAACUAUGCCGACUAGGGAUCGGAUGAUGUUAAUUUUUAAUGUACUCAUUCGGCGCCUUAA